CAAGAUCUCAAGUCCUGGAAUUAAAGGCAGGUCGCAAGCAGCGAGCAAGCAUGUUUAGGAAGAGGAAGACCCUGGUAACUGCUCCACACCAAGUUCUGUGUGAGGUUCAACACUCCAGGCUCAUUGAGAGGUAGCAUGCAACAACUUAAGGAUGCAUUAGAAGGGUGUGGGCAUGUCAGAGACUGUUUCUUCCAUGCUGGAAAUUAUGAAUUCAUCAGAGCAGUGGCCAUUUGUGCUGAGACAGUGAUUCACUCAGGGACAUCCCUGUGCAAGACUCAAUAACCAGAAGACUGUUUUAAGGUCACACAUAUUGGCCUAUAAUUGGUUCCUGCCAGAGAGUCAAAGGCAAAGGAAAGGUCUGUGAAAACCGCAAUUUAAAAGUGUUUCUGGUUUAUUUUUCCAUCUGUAACUUCUAUAAAACAGUGACCUAAGAAACUCAGGCUGGUCAUGUAGUCAGGAUGAAAAGGUAGUUUUAAAUGGCAUGCCCGGUAAACUAAUUGGGUUGUAACUAGGGGAGGGAAAAAAAUGGAACUCCCUAUCUAUUGCCAGCAAAAUAAAAAACUAGGCACCUCGACCAGUUUCCCCACUGAAAAUAGCUUAAAAUGCUGGCAAAGCAUUGUGAACACCCUCUGAAGAGCUCUGAAGAGCUGGCGAGAAAGUAAGGAACACUGAGGCAGAAAGAGGAAGUGAAGACGUAAACCCAGAAAGCAGGCAGAAAAUGGGACAGCUUUCAUCCUGGGGCAUUGGCAGAACCAAGGCUGACUGAGCUUGGAUUUUCCAGGCUCCAGAGACAAAGCACAGGUCCGCUUAGGAGGAAGGAGUCCAAGAACAGACCUUUAUUAAUGGAACCAGAAUCCUUGAAGCUAGGUUCUCAGUGUAAGGAGAAUGAGAAACGACUCCACUACCUCCUCAUCACCAAUGGGACCACCAACCAAUGUGCUGCCGUUGAGCCCCAAAACCAGAGGACAGAGGAAGAGAGUCCCUGAGAAUCUGUACAGACACUAUGGUCUCCACUUGGGGUGCAGCCUGAAUUCUUAGGAUCUGUCCUCAAACAACAGUUCUAGUGGUCCCGGGUUAGUGGUGAGCCUAGGCAUCAGCAAACCCUCUCUGAAGGGACUAUUCAGCCAACAAGAAGAAUCGUCACCUACACUCCCAGAAUAAAUGAACAACAAAGGACUUUAAGGAUCCCUUAGAAAAACGGGCAAAGGAAAUAUCAAUGAUGACUUACAAUCCUGAAAUUAGUGUAGGCAGAACAUGAAAUUAUAGAACUAAAAGAUAAGAUUAAAUACCAGCAGGUCAAAGAGACAAUACAGAUGACCAAGCAGUGCAGCUGGAGAGGGAAGUAAAGAAAUUAUCCAAUCUGUAGUCUAGAGAUACCAAGGACUUUGGAUGUUUGUAUUUGGAGAAAUAUUGAAAAGCAGGGAGGGUACACAAAAGGUUUAACAGAGGUCUAAAUCAGUGGUUCUUGGCUGGGGCAAUUUUGGGACAUUUGGCAACAUCAUGGUAGAUGUUUGGAUAUCAUUGCUGUUUGGAAUAUGCUGAUACCCAGCAGACAGAGUUCCCAGAGGCUCAUGAUCCAGUCAUAGGACUGCCCUGGUCCAUAAAGAAUGACGUCAGCGUGCUGAGAUGAAGAGGCUCUCCACAGAGCUCCAGAAGUGAAGUACACGGCAAGUGAGGCAAUGAUGAUAUUUGAAUGAAUAAAAGAAUCCAAUCCAUAUGACCACACACGUAAAACAAAACA